rnacentral:rRNA from 1 species
UACGGAGGGUGCAAACGUUGCUCGGAAUCAUUGGGCGUAAAGCGCACGUAGGCGGUCGGCUAUGUCGGAUGUGAAAGCCUCGGGCUUAACCCGAGAAGGGCAUCCGAAACUGGCCGGCUUGAGUACGGAAGAGGGUCUCGGAAUUCACGGUGUAGCAGUGAAAUGCGUAGAUAUCGUGAGGAAUACCAGAGGCGAAGGCGGCUACCUGGACAAUUGCUGACGCUCAGGCACGAAAGCGUGGGGAGCAAAAGGG